AUUGAACGCUAGCGGGAUGCCUUACACAUGCAAGUCGAACGGCAGCGCGGACUUCGGUCUGGCGGCGAGUGGCGAACGGGUGAGUAAUGUAUCGGAACGUGCCCAGUAGCGGGGGAUAACUACUCGAAAGAGUAGCUAAUACCGCAUACGCCCUACGGGGGAAAGGGGGGGAUCGCAAGACCUCUCACUAUUGGAGCGGCCGAUAUCGGAUUAGCUAGUUGGUGAGGUAAAGGCUCACCAAGGCGACGGUCCGUAGCUGGGUUGAGAGGACGCCCAGCAACACUGGGACUGAGAAACGGCCCAGACUCCUGCGGGAGGCAGCAGUGGGGAAGUUUGGACAAUGGGGGAGACCCUGCUCCAGCCAUUCGGCGUGUGCGAUGAAGGCCUUCGGGUUGUAAAGCACUUUUGGCAGGAAAGAAAUCGCACGGAUUAAUACUCUGUGUGGAUGACGGUACCUGCAGAAUAAGCACCGGCUAACUACGUGCCAGCCGCCGCCGUAA
rnacentral:rRNA from 1 species